UACGAAGGAUCCAAGCGUUAUCCGGAUUCAUUGGGUUUAAAGGGUGCGUAGGCGGUUGGAUAAGUCAGUGGUGAAAUCCUGUCGCUUAACGAUAGAAUUGCCAUUGAUACUGUUUAACUGGAGUUCAGAUGAUGUUGGCGGAAUGUGUCAUGUAGCGGUGAAAUGCUUAGAUAUGACACAGAACACCGAUUGCGAAGGCAGCUGACAAAACUGAUACUGACGCUGAUGCACGAAAGUGCGGGGAUCAAACAGG
rnacentral:rRNA from 1 species